CUCUUCCAUAUGCUUUCCACUUUUCAUCCAAAAUUUGUUCAAUUAAUCCAUCCAUAAGCUCUAGAUGUUGAAUUGAUUCCUGAUGUAAUUAUUUUGGUAUUUAUCGUUAUUCAAUGCCUUACUCCAUAUACUACUAAAGAC
ensembl:ncRNA F28H7.12 ncRNA